rnacentral:rRNA from 1 species
CCUACGGGUGGCAGCAGUGGGGAAUAUUGGACAAUGGGGGCAACCCUGAUCCAGCCAUGCCGCGUGUGUGAAGAAGGCCCUCGGGUUGUAAAGCACUUUCAGUGAGGAAGAACGCCUGGUGGUUAAUACCCAUCAGGAAAGACAUCACUCACAGAAGAAGCACCGGCUAACUCCGUGCCAGCAGCCGCGGUAAUACGGAGGGUGCGAGCGUUAAUCGGAAUUACUGGGCGUAAAGCGCGCGUAGGUGGCUUGAUAAGCCGGUUGUGAAAGCCCCGGGCUCAACCUGGGAACGGCAUCCGGAACUGUCAAGCUGGAGUGCAGGAGAGGAAGGUAGAAUUCCCGGUGUAGCGGUGAAAUGCGUAGAGAUCGGGAGGAAUACCAGUGGCGAAGGCGGCCUUCUGGACUGACACUGACACUGAGGUGCGAAAGCGUGGGUAGCAAACAGGAUUAGAUACCCUAGUAGUC